ACCUCCCUGCUGUUCCUCACCCAGGAUCACCAAGGUCUCUCCUACCCCGGGGCCUGUGCACCUGCUGUGCCUCUGCUUGGGGUGCUCUUCCCAGGGCUUGCCCACCUCCUCAGAGAGGCCUCCUGACCCCUGACACGGCCUUGCCCUUCACCUCUAUCGUCCUUUAGAACAGCCCCCACCUCCCGCACAUCAUGCAGUUGCAGGUUCAAUGGCUACUGCUUGUCCUCCAGACUCGCCUCAUCACUCCUCAGAUGAUUCUCGAAGGAUAACACACAGGCCAGUGGGCAGCCCUAGGCCAGGGGGAUUACCAAGACAUGAAGACUUUCUUUCUGUCUCAGCAACCUUCAUGCUUGGUCAAGCAAAGGUGUUGCUUAAGUCAAACCCAGGGCAGGGGAGAGCAGUUGAAGCAAAGUGAGUCUUUGGAGGCCCUGUGGUUGUGGGGUCUGGUGUGGAGACAGUGAGAACGGAAAAGGUGGGAGAGGAGCAGUCAACCCGUGAAUGGCCCCAUUCAGACGCCUUUACCUGGAAGACGUGGCAGGUCUACUGGGGUUCAUCCCAUCUGAGCCAGGCCUGGCUUUUCUUGGCUGCAAGCUGAGAGCUGGGUCCAGGUCUGCUGAACCAAGGUUCUCCCAUCUUCCUUGAGCCAGUGACAAUCAGAGGCCUAUUUCUUUCAUGACGGAAGGCAGGAGAACAAGCAGGCAAGACCAGCUGUGCUAGCACAUGGCACCCCUUUCCCACAUCACACCUGCUAACAUCCCAUUGUUCAAAGCAAGUAACACAACCAAACCCAAUAUCAACAGGACAAGAAAACAGACUCCACCUCUAGGUGCACAAACUACAGAGUCACGGACAGAGAACACAGAUCUAGGGAAGGAAGCUGGAGAAUGAGAACAAUGACCCUCAAUAACACAACCUCCCACAGGUUUCCAAAUCCCCAACCUGAGCAUAUUUCCAAGGAAACGGAAUCAUGGGUUCAGGGUUUUAGAGCAAGCAAUUUCUGCUCUCCCAGCUUAGUUUCCAUACCCUUAACACAGGGGCAAUGACGUCGCAUCGAAUCAUAUCUUAUAAGUCUGUGAUGAUGUUUCAACAACUGAACGCCAGAAAAGUGCUUAGAGCAAGGCCAGGUAGGAGGGACAGAAGCCAAUAAUAAUGAGUAGCAUCACUGUUAACCCGCAAAAUUCUGGGAAUUUCCUCGAAAGUCUAAUUAGAGAAUCAUGUCCCCAACAAUUAA
ensembl:lncRNA LINC00494 long intergenic non-protein coding RNA 494